AUACAUAGGGGGCAAGCGUUAUCCGGAAUUAUUGGGCGUAAAGGGUGCGUAGGCGGUCUAUUAAGUUUAAGGUAUAAGUGCAAGGCUCAACCUUGUGAGGCUUUAGAAACCGGUAGGCUAGAGAUAGAUAGAGGCAAGUGGAAUUCCAUGUGUAGCGGUAAAAUGCGUAAAUAUAUGGAGGAACACCAGUGGCGAAGGCGGCUUGCUGGGUCUAUACUGACGCUGAGGCACGAAAGCGUGGGGAGCAAACAGGAUUAGAUACCCUGGUAGUCCACGCCGUAAACGAUGAGUACUAAGUGUUGGGGGAACCCAGUGCUGUAGUUAACAUAUUAAGUACUCCGCCUGAGUAGUACGUACGCAAGUAUGAAACUCAAAGGAAUUGACGGGG
rnacentral:rRNA from 1 species